rnacentral:rRNA from 1 species
UACGUAGGGUGCGAGCGUUGUCCGGAAUUAUUGGGCGUAAAGGGCUCGUAGGCGGUUUGUCGCGUCGGGAGUGAAAACUCAGGGCUUAAACCCUGAGCCUGCUUCCGAUACGGGCAGACUAGAGGUAUGCAGGGGAGAAGUGAAUUCCUGGUGUAGCGGUGAAAUGCGCAGAUAUCAGGAGGAACACCGGUGGCGAAGGCGGGUCUCUGGGCCGUAACUGACGCUGAGGAGCGAAAGCGUGGGGAGCGAACAGG